CUGCGAGUUCGCGGGAGAGUAAGUUAUUGCCAGGGUUUUUAUUUUGUAAUUUAAACCUUAAAAUUUAUUUUUUUAAUGUUUAUGUUUUUGAAUGUUUUAUUCAAAUAAUGUAAAAAAUAAAAUAGAUAUUGACAUGGAUUGAACAAAAGAUAUAUAUUAUUUUAUGUUGCAUAAACAAAUUGGCAAAAUAGAGAUGGAAGAUAAAAAUAUGGUCAAAGUAAUAAGAGUCUAUGGUGAAUGCCUAGGA
rnacentral:misc_RNA from 1 species